rnacentral:rRNA from 1 species
CUAGUCUUAUCGGUGGAUC